rnacentral:lncRNA from 1 species
CAACAUUUAUGUUUACAACAUAUAAGUUUUAAUAUUUUCAUACAUAUUAAAAAUCUAUUAGAUAUUAGUUACUUAUUCAUAAGUUUUAUAAUUAAAACCGAUAAUUACAGUGGGAGUUACGAUGGUUGCAGUUCGGAGAAGGAAGAAGAGGACAAUGAGAUUGAUUGCUCUAGUAUUGUGGAAGGAGAAAAUCAGAACGUAGGCGGAGAAGAUGAAACAGGCAAAGAAAACGAAGAAGACGAUGAAUUUGAUAGCCGAUUUGAUAUGUUCGACGACUCGGACGGUGCUUCAUCUGAAGAUGAUAACUUCAGCUCAUACGGUGAGUCUCCUUUAGAAGACGAAGAGUCACCAACGAUACCUCCCAAGAAGAUAUAUCAGAACUUCUCGAUGAGCGGGUCUAAAGAGAGUGAGGAGGUUCUUCUAAGGUUGGAGAUGUCGUCGUUAAAUCUUCCGUUAGGGCAACGAUACGAGAGUAAAGCCGAUUUGGAGAGACGACUGAAACUUCUUAACAGUGAAGGAUCGAUUUGAUUAUGAUGUAGACAUAUCAACCCGAACAUUAUUCAUUGUUAAGUGUUGGGUUGAUGGAUGUAUCUGGAGGGUUCGUGCUUCUACCAAAGGGGAAUCCCCGGCCUUCUAUGUUUGUAUUUACGAAUCGAAUCAUACAUGUUCUACAACUGAGCGUUCUAAUCGAUGUCGAAAUGCAACACCAGAUAUUUUAGGAGAGUUGUACAAGAACUUUCUCGGCGACGUUGGUCCGGCCGUUCGCCCUACGAGUGUUGGAAUAGCUAUCACUAAGCAGUUUGGUGUAAAGGUAAUUACUUUGGUGUAACUGAAUUAUGUGUUUCGUAGCGGCUAAUAUAUUUACACAAUGCGGCCGAGUUAUAUUAAAAUAGUGUUGAAUUAGUUUUACGUUGUGACUGACUUAAUUGUAUGAUGUGGCUGAGUUAUGUGUAUCGUUUUUCAUGUGAACAGAUGAAAUAUUGGAAAUCUUACCGGACGCUGAAAUUUGCAAGGGAAAUCGUUCAGGGAACACCUGAGAGUGGGUUUGAACGCUUGCAUUCUUACUUAUACAUGAUAAUAAAGGAAAAUCCGAGUACAGUUGCGCGUCUUCAAAUCGAUGAGAAUGGAAAAUUCAUGUAUGUGUUUCUUGCGUUUGGUGCGAGCGUAAAUGGGUUUCCUUUCAUGCACAAAGUUGUGGUUGUCGACGGUACGUUUCUUAAUGGUAGAUACAAAGGGACGCUUCUCACAGCACUAGCUCAGGAUGGUAACUUUCAGAUUUUUCCAAUAGCCUUCGCAGUGGUUGACACUGAAAAUGAUGAUUCCUGGCAUUGGUUUUUUACGCAACUAAAACUUUUGAUUCCUGACGACGAGGGUCUUGCGAUAAUCUCUGAUAGGCAUAACUCGAUUGGGAAAGCAAUUACAAAUGUGUAUCCGCUUGCUUCUCGUGGAAUUUGCACGUACCAUCUAUAUAAGAAUAUACUGGGACAGUACAAAGGAAAAGAUGCAUUUCGUCUGGUGAAGAAAGCGGCGAGAUGUUUUAGGAUGUCUGACUUUACUCAGAUUUUCGAGGAGAUUGAAGCGAUUAAUCCAGCACUCCACGGCUACCUCCAAAGGGCUGAUGUCCGACUGUGGACGCCUGUUCAUUUCCCGGGCGAGAGGUACAAUUUGAUGACUACGAACAUAGCGGAAUCAAUGAACAGAGCAUUGUCGAAUGCUAGAGGUCUUAACAUUGUUCGGAUAUUAGAAUCGAUACGAGUUAUGAUGACCAGAUGGUUUGCUGAACGAAGAGAGGAUGCCAGAUCGCAGCGAACCACGCUUACUCGUGGUGUGGAGAAACUACUACUUGUAAGUAAGCCUUUAAAAAAAUUAGUCAGCCUUUAAAUUCAUAAGUCAGUCUUUACAGCUCUUAAGUCAGCCCUUAAGAUGUACUAAGUCAGUCGUUUCACAUUAAUUAUAUAUUUUUUAAUAGGGGCGUGUAACUGCCGCCAGAGAUUUGGCGGUACAGAGGAUUGAUGAUCAUCACACUGAAGUUAAAUAUGGAUCUUCCGGCGAGUAUUUGCAUGUUGUUAAUUUGGUAGAGCGAAAGUGCACAUGUCGCCGUUUCGAACUCGAGAAAUUACCAUGUGUACACGCAAUCGCAGCGGCGGAGUACAGGAAUGUUUCUCGUAUAUCCAUGUGCAGUCCUUACUAUACCAGCAAUUAUUUGGUUAGCGCAUACGCUGAAUCGGUCAUGCCGGUUGAUUCAGCGCAACCUGUUCCAGAACUCGUGGCUAACCAACGCUGCUUGCCCCCGACUGUACGUCAACCACCAGGCAGACCGAAGAAAAAUAGGAUGAAAUCUGCUUUAGAAGUUGCACUAUCAAACAAACGUCCUAGGAAAGAGCACACAUGUUCUCGAUGUAGACAGAGUGGUCAUAAUGCGAAAACUUGUCCGAUGUAAGCAAGUGUUGUAGGGAUUUUCAUGUUUUUGUAUUACGGCUUAGUUUAUGGUUUAAAUGUUUUUGUAUUACGGCUGAUUUGUUGAUUUUCAUGUUUUUAUUACGUCUGGGUUGUUGUAGGGAUUAUCAUGUUUUUGUAUUACGGCUUAGUUUAUGGUUUUAAUGUUUUUGUAUUACGGCUGAUUUGUUGAUUUUCAUGUUUUUAUUACGUCUGGGUUGUUGAUUUUAAAAGUUAAUACUUAAGGCUGGGCUGUUAUUUUUCAUGUCCUUUGGAAAGCAUCUCAAUGACUCUGAUAUGCGUAACGGCUGGGUUAGUGUUAACAUGGGCUGAGUUUUUGUUUACUAAGGCUGAGUUACAUUUUUAACGGCUGAGUUAUUUUGAAUUAGUAGUAUGAAAUAGGAUGAAAUCUGCUUUAGAAGUUGAUAGUGCAACUUGUAAAGCAGAUUUCAUCCUAUUUUUCUUAUAUCAUAAUGCGAAAACUUGUCCGAUGUAAGCAAGUAUUGUAGGGAUUUUCAUGUUUUUGUAUUACGGCUUAGUUUAUGGUUUUGAUGUUUUUGUAUUACGGCUGAUUUGUUGAUUUUCAUGUUUAUUCUUUAAAAAGUCCCGCCAAAUAAAAAGAAAGGUCGUCAGACGACUGAGUUUCACACUGCCAAUAAAUAAGACUUUCAACUCUAUAUUUUUACACAUUUUCUCUGUCUAUCUAAAUCAAUUUCACCCCUGAGAGAGUAAAUGGAAUUUUUCCCUCUUCUUGAAUUGCCUGAAGAAAUUCAGGCGGUAGUGGUUGAACGUGUGGCCCAUAACUCCAUCCAAGAUCUCUAUGGCCUCAAAGCAUCGUCGAGGUCGAUGAAGGUGUUAGCAGAGGGGCGUGGGGUUUACCAUUUCCUCGAUGUUUUAUCCGUUCCCUGGGGACUCAAUAUGCCUUCUGAGUUGUUGAAAGCUUGCUACGAUGAGGGAAAUCCAAGCACGCUUUAUAUAAAAGGUAUACAGUUUUUCUACUCCUUGGACCUUCACGAAGAAGGGCUUUGUCUCAUGAAGCGUGCAGCAGAUGCUGGAUAUGAGCGUGCUGUGUAUACACACGCAAUGACUCGAGCAAUCUUUGAGGGUGAAGGGAAGUAUUUUGAUGGUAUUCCAUUUGAAUCUGUUGACAUGAUCGGUAAACUAGUGCGCUCUGUUAAAUGGGGUUGGGGUUUGUGGCAUGGUGACUAUUUUCGCGACCAUAAGGUCCUGUUCAUUUGCUUUUUUAUGUCAUCGUUCUACAGAUGCCAAUGUGCAAAUCUUGUGCAGCGACAAUGUCACUGCUUGUGGCACAUUGAUGUCACUAAGGAUGAUAACAUGUGUAACCGCUGUUUCUGGAUCAAAGAGCUCAGCUUGUUCUUACGUGAUUUUGAACCGAUAAGCCUGUUAAAGGACACAAGGAAGUGGUGAAGAUGUAAUGUAUCGAAACUUAUCUUUUUAUGUUAUUUGCUAUUCCAGUCUGUUGUAUGUCGAGACUAAUAUUCUAUGGCUAAGUUGUUGUUUUCUAAUAUUUGAUUAAAUGCUAUUUAUAGGCUGAGUUAAUUGUUUCGUUGGCUAAGUUAAAUAUAUUUGAAGACUGAGUUAAUGGUUCCUAAGGCAACGUAAAAUCUAUUUCGAGGCUGAGUUAAUUGUUUCCAAGGCUGAGUUAAUUGUUUCUUAGGCUAGGUAAAUGCUAUUUUGAAGACUGAAUUAUUUGUUUUUACAACGUAAUACAUAGGACUGAAUUAAACCAACCUAACAAGAAACUCCAUUAAAGAAAAUUUUAUUGUCUCGAUAGUAUAAAGGUCUCGAUAUUUGUUAGAACCUUGACUUAUUUUCACACGCCUAAUAUUAAUUUUCAUUUAUUAAAAUUCACGUGAAAUCCCAACCGUCGCGAAUCAUGUUUCGACUGAGUUGGCUGAAUUAUAUCUUACUGGCCAAUUAGAGUCGAGGAAAACAUCGAAAAACUCAUGGCAACUGAAUUUGAUCACGCGCAUAAUAAUGGUCUCGAUUUACACUGGUCUGGAUAAUGAACCGUCUGCUGAGUUAUUGAUGCAUAAAAACUGAUUUGUGUUAAUUUAUGUCACGACUGAGUUAUAUGAAUAGGUAGAAAAUAAAACAUGAUGUGUGUUACAUAGUACAUAAAAUCCGGUCUUAAAAACAUAAAAAUAAAAGAGAAGUUGAUGACAUGAGAUUAAUCAUCCAGCAUCCAUUUUUCAUGAAGCUUACACCAGUCAGGGUCGAUGACCUUCACAUCUCUCAACUCUGCUUCGGCUUCACAAUGCUGAGCGGUAAGUUUCUCCAACUCAGCCACGAGGUCAAAUUUGCCUUAGGCCUAGAUAAUGGCAUCAAGUAAUUCCAUGCGCGCAGCAAUAGAAUUUACUUUGCUGGAGGCGUCGUUCCAUUCAGAUUCAGAUUGCCUUUGUUCCUUGGCCAAGCGGAGAAGCGCCCUGUAAUGCUCCGUCGUUUCCAUUUUCCCUUUGUUAUAACCUUCAACAGCAUCCGCUCCAUAGACAUCCUCCAUAUGACGUUUCAUCGAUCUUUUCGAUCCUUCCAUUGCCACUUGAUCACUUAAUGAGGGUUUGGAUUUGUGGCAUUGUGCGCUUUGUAUUAUAGAUAAAAAAAAUGAUCUAUUGGAGUCGUUUGGAAAGCAUCUCUUCGAUUUUUUAGAUUUUAGAUAAUUCUUAUUAUUGUUAGUUAUAAUUUUCCGGUCAUUAAAUGAUUUUAUUAAAACAUACUGACUUAUCAAAAGACUGACUUACGGUUUCGGUCAGGUUAUUGUUUACAUAGGACUGAAUUAAACCAACCUAACAAGAAACUCCAUUAACGAAAAUUUUAUUGUCUCGAUAGUAUAAAGGUCUCGAUAUUUGUUUGAACGUUGACUUAUUUUCACACGCCUAAUAAAGAGCGGCAUAAUUGAUUGAAGCGACUAAUAUUAAUUUUGAUUUAUUAGUUCGGAUAACCACACAAUAUAUAAGAAUUAUCUUUUUUAUUUUAAAAUAUUUUUUAGAUUUUAGAUAAUUCUUAUUAUUGUUAGUGAUAAUACAUGAGUGCUUGCCAUAUCCCUAUAUGUAAAGACAUACUAAUAAUGAGUCUCGAUAUUAUCAUGGCAGCCAAAAAUUCUCACACGCAUAAUAAUAUUAUUUUCUGAUAUUUGAUUAAAUGCUAUUUAAAGGCUGAGUUAAUUGUUUCCAAGGCUGAGUUAAUUGUUUCUUAGGCUAGGUAAAUGCUGACUUAAUAAAAUAAAACAACAUUAAACAACUUAAGGUAAUUGGAAAGUCUGAUUGAAAAUAACAAACACAGAUUCAUUUGGAAAGCUAAUUGUUCUACGCCAUGUUUCCUCCUUCAUCGAGGAUCUCUGCCGCCAUCUUCAACCGUAAACCUUGAAUAUUUUUAUCGUUUAUCCCAGCAAAACUUACACCAAGCGCUAGAACUCCACAAACUUCAACGCAUACACCCCACAAUCGCCAAUCUGGGUUUUUGUGGAGUGUACCUUUUGCUCAUCCUCCUGAAUGCGAACUUCUUCCUACUUGGGGUUCGGAGAUUGGCAGGAAUGUUUUGAUUCAAAAUAUCGGGAAGCAUAAGCGUUAUCGGUUUAAACUCUUCAAGCAUUUUCGAAGCACUUUGGCUGUUACCUCUCCAAUGAUUGAAUCAUAGCAAUCAACCUUAACCUUCUUCAGAUCCACGUGAAAAGCCACCCAGUGAUUUCCGCCGGUUGGAAGACAUCCGUACAAGUGAUCCACGUGUUCAUACCACUUCAAGUUUGUUUGAAAGUUACAGGGAAGCUUACCGUGUACAAGAUUUUCAUAACCAUUCUCUGUGAACUUCAUCAUAUUAGGUUUUAUCUUGAACUGCUUGUAAUCGUCAACCCACUUCUUCAAGAACCAAGGAUCAAUGAAGGCAAUUCGCUUGGUCCAGAAUGGGGUGGGAUCUCGCAUGGACCUCUUAAAGAGGACGUUAAUAUAUGCACAGAUAUGCUACACAAUAAAUAUUAACAAGUCAGCCGUAAACAAAUAUAUAAGUCAGCUUUAAUAGAAGAUAUAAAUCAGCUGAAAUAUAAUGUAAAACUCUGUCGUAAUUAUAGACUUACAUCAUCAAACAACCAUCCAUAUUGGCUAUGCGGCCACGGUCUUUCAAGGAUGAGUAUGCUGUAGAAGUCACCCUCACGAGCGGCGGAUCUUACAACUCUUUUCUUUGCUGGUGCUGGUGGUUUGGGUGGAAUUCUCGAGAUGUGUUGCAUAAGUUUAUCCAAUACAAUCGGAUCAACAGGUGCUAGAGGGUCAUAUAUUGCUGAUGAAGGCUCAACAUUAUUCCUCAUGCACGUCGUUCCAUUGUCUCCAAUGUACGGAAAAACUGGUCUUGAGAACCUUCAGACAAUGCAAACCCUUGUGGAGAUAAUUAACCGUUUUCUCCCGAUAUUCCUUUACUAUAGCAGAUCUAAUCAAUUCCUGACUCGCCAUAGGCGACUCCGGCAAGAUUUCAUUCUCCUCCGCAAGAACUUCGUCGGUCAUUACAGCAAAUUCACUGUCCUCUACAGAAUCUUCAACCUUGCAUCUUUUUAAAUUGGCACGCGGUGUAGUUAUAUUCUUUCUCUUCUCAUUAUCGGCUUCUUGAUUCUUUAACUCAGCCAGUUCUUCAUUCAUUAACUCAGCCUGUUCUUGAUUCUUUAACUCAGCCUGUUCUUCAUUCAUUAACUCAGCCUGUUUUGGUUUCUUUAACUCAUGUUGUUUUUGCUUCAUUGAGGCAGCCGCUUUUCUCUUAGCGGCAGCUUUCUCCUUCUUCUUCAACACAGCCUCUGCUUGCACAGUUUUUUUCUUAUCUUCUGCAUCCUCAUCCUUUAUAGUACGGUUGCGCGUGGAGCGGCGACGUAAGUCUUCAGCCUUAGUUGCCUUUGCAGGAGAAACAUAUAGGAAAUCAAGAACAUUAGCACCCUCAUCUUCAGCAUGUGUUCCAAACUCCUUAGCCAAAGUUUUUUCAUCCCUCUCUCCUUAUCAAGCUCGUUGGACAAAUUGUUCCUAGGUCCCAUAUCCUUUCCAAGGGUUUCAGCUAACAGUGGACUACAGACAGACUUCUGCUGGGUAUUAGGCUGCGGUGAUGACAACGGUUCAGGUUGUUGGUCGGCGGCGACGUUUGAGAGGUUUUCUUUGUUUUGGGGAUUUUUUCCUAUCCCCAUAACUUUCAGACACUCCUCCACUGUAACUUUCACCAUGUCAUCUAUCAACUUCUGGUCCACCAAUGGUUUUUUAAAUCGCGCGUCCAUCAGAUCAAAUUUACUGGAAAGUUUAUCCAGAGUACUCGCAAUGGCCAUCAGACUCGCGUUGUUCCCCGAAUCUUUGUUACCUUCCUCUUCGCUUGAACCCUUUCCCGUUGCAGCAGCUUCACCCUCAUUGGUCUUAACUUUAUUCUGCUUCUUAGUGGGUGGCUCAGCUUUCUUCUUCUUCUCGUUACCCUUUCCCUCCGCAUUUCCAUGCACUUCCCAAAAACCUUUUACAAAUCUACCUGCAUGUAUGUCUGUUAUCGAGUUAACGAGUUGUGGGUCGUCAGGUUGACACGACCAUUCAGGCAACAACUCUUCGAUUGACUCCUUCGAAACCAUUCUCCUAACACGCACCUGUAACACCAUGACAUAAUAUAACUCAGCCACCAAAUAAACACAACACUCAGCCAUUAAGUCUAAUAAAUCAGCCAUUUAAGAAAUCAAAACGCAGCGUUACACCUUACCUGGCUAUGUUGUUUUAUCUCGGCAGACAACAAGUUUUCGAAAUUUGCACGAGUACGCUUUCCACCCCAUCGUAAAAGUGGAACGUCUUCAUUAUUCACCACUCUCCCAAAACACUCGCCAAAGCAGACGAUGGAUUCAUACGCCCAAAUCAAUAACGCAUCCUUUAGGCCGCUUAAUGUGUAUGACCCCCUGUCUGGAGCCAACAUUUUAAUAGAGUCAAUGAGAACUUCGUAUGCAGUCCGACCCCAUGGAUACGACUUCAUGGCUUCAUCGUCAAACACUCUUUUGGCACUUUCAAAUGGCACCCGAGAAUUUUGAUGCAAACAAUAAAGUACCAUGUGUUGAAGAACUAAUAGCCCUAGCCAUUUACACUCUUCAAAUGUCCAACUCGGGCAGACCUCUAUUGAGUUCUUCAGUUCAUCCAACGUGGGUCCCCUCCCAAGCGACACCUUCAGCUUCGCCCAAAACGGUUUGUAUUUAUCAGGAUCAGGUUCAAAACUUUUUGUUGGCAAUGGACCAGUGUUUAACCCAGUUAUCUCACAAAAUUCUACCAAGCUAAACUUGAUAGGCUCAUCAACCACCAGACUCCAUAUCUCCUUCCUAUGUACUCGCAGCUGUCUACAUAGUAGAUAGUGUACUGUUCUACCAGACCACACGCUUCGGCGUUCAACUAGCCUAGCAACUACUCCAAUGGGAGAGUUCACCAGUGCUUUCCAUACAUCUUCUCCUAGUGUUUCUAUAAUAUGAGGUAAAUCUCGUGAACGGAAAUUGUGAUUAAUGUCUUUAUUUUCUAGGUUAGAAGACCCUACAAGAUAAAAUCUUGGAGGGUAACCCCGUGAUUUAACAUCAGAAACAUCCAUCUGAACAAAUAAACAAACAAUAACUCAGUCACGACAUAUAACAAUAACUCAAUGAAUAUAACAAUAACUCUGCCACAACAUUAAAAUAACUCAGACACAACAUAACAAUAACUCAGGAAAAACAUAACAAUAACUCAGGGAAAACAUAACAAUAACUCUGCCACAACAUAACAAUAACCUAAUCACAACUACACCCUAACUCACUCGAAACAUAGCCCUAACUCACUCGAAACAAAACCCCAAAUCAAUAUUUAACGUCGCGACAUCCUACCGAAAAGACGUACUUGUAGAUAUGAAUGCGGCGAAGACGAUACAAACGAUCGAUAACGAUAACGAUAACGGAGAUCUCACCGUUAUUUGGAAGAGACGAAGUAAACACAAUGUCGAUAACGGCUCACCGUUAUUUCGUCGACGGCGAUUUCGUAUCCUUGCGGUUCCUUCUCCGUUUCCGACAAUGUUUUUUUUUAAUUGUUAGGUCAAUCAAUGUUACUGGUUGAUGAGACUAUCUGAGCAUAAAAGUAAAUAAAACUAGCCAAAGGCUAUCUAUGUCAUUUACCAGAGGUAACAAAACAUUCUCGCUUUUAUCAAUUUGAUUUAACGGCUGGGUUAUAUAUUAAUAAACGCAUAGUUUUGUUUACAUACGACUGAGUUAAAACAACUUAAAAGUUAAUAAAGGCUGAGUUACAUAACACGCGAAAGCUGAUUUAUGAUGACAAAACAUGACUAAACAGAGAAGUAGUAGUAGCAAAGUAUCGCCAUUCCAGCUACACAAACAACCACAUUCCUCAAACACCGACUCUCACUUAAACAUUCGCCUCCUUUUCUCUCAGAUUCUGUCUUUACUCCAUUCGCCAACUGAGCAACGUUAACUCGCAACUCCGAGAUGUCUCUAUUCAUGCCAUUUAUCACUGCCUUAAUAUCUUCAACCUCUUCCACCAAGCACUCAUCCGCCCAUUUGAAUAAAUGACUCUGUUUUCACCAAUGUAACCAGAUCUAAGUAUUACGUUUCCGAACAUGGGAAAUUAGAACCAGAACUAACCUUAUGAUAUCCUUUUGCACAGCAAUAGUACAAUCUUCCUGGAUUUGUCUCGCUUCCAGAUGUAAAAAUGUCAGAUGGUGCACCACACCAACACUCUUUCGGCGUUCCUCUUUCUGUAUUCCUACGUCGUCUGUAAUAAUUUCCUGAGGUGAAGGAUGAGGAAGACAUUGUUAAAAUAGAUUUCAAAGUUCUUGGAAACUAAAAAUUGUUUUACUUUGUAAGAAAGGGUAUUAGAACGUGAAACGGCGGGAAUUGAAAUUUCUCAAAAUUCAUUUAUCUUAUUUCCCGCCAAACGACAACAUUUAACAAACGUGUCGGCCGAGUUAUAUAGCCUAUUAUGGCUGAUUUAAUAUUUGGUAUUUAGGGUUUAGGGUUUAGUAUUUAGAGUUUAGGUUUGUUUAUUUAGGGAUUUAUGUUUAGGAUUUGGAAUAACGGUGUGAUAAAUAUAACAAAGAACAUAAAUUUAGUCUUAAAAUGCGUUGUAUAUAGUUUAGGAGAGUUGUAUUAUGAUCACACUCUAUAUCUACAUGUAAAGUUUUAAGUAACUGCAAGACAACAUAUACCUCAAGAUCAUGAUCGAUUCUAAACUCGUUAAUUCAAUAAAUAAGAGACGUUCGGUUGAUUAUAUAUUCACUUAUUAGGGAAUGUUAUAACAUUUUUAAGUAUAAACAUAUCAAUUAUUUUAAUUCAGGGUAUGGUUUGAGGUAUGGCUGACUUUUAUCUACCUUAACGGCUGCUUUAUGAAGACGAAUCGGCUGACUUAUUAAAUAUUUUCCAAUCUUAGGGUAUGGUUUGAGGUUUGGCUGAGCUAUAUCUACCUUAACGGCUGUUUUAUGAAGACGAAUCGGCUGACUUAUUAAAUAUUUUCCUAUUUUAGGGUAUGGUUUGAGGUUUGGCUGAGCUAUAGCUAACGUAACGGCUGCGUAAUUUAAACAAGGUGGCUGAGUUACGAUAAACAAAUCAUAACUUUAAGUCAAGUACAAAAUAUCUAGCCAUAAGUCAUACAAAACUCAUCUUCAUUCAUCGCCAAAUGACCCUACCAAACUACAACUUCCUUCAUUGAAGAUAUCUGCUGCCAUCUUCAUUCUCAGACCUUGAAUAUUUUCAUCCGAUAUCCCAUCAAAAGCUACACCAAGCGCUAGACACUCGACGAACUUCAAUGAAUACACUCCACAGUCGCCUCUCAGGUUGUUUUGUGGAGCAAUACGUUUUGUUCUUCGUCUGAAUACAAACUCUUUCUUGGUAGGGACUCGGAUAUCAUCAGGAAUAAGGGCAUUCAGAAUCGCAGGGAUCGUACGAGUAAGCGGCCCAAAGAAAUUUAGCAUUCUCAGAUCACUUUCGAGUGUUUGCUUUCCAACGAUUGAAUCAUAGCAAUCAACCUUCUCUUUAUGCAGAUCCGCGUGAAAAGCCACCCAAUGAUUGCCGCCAGUAUUAAUCACUCCGUACAAGUGAUCUACAUCUGUAAACCACCGUAACUUUGUCUGAAUGUCUGUGGGGAUCAAACCGUUUGCUAACCCCUCGUAACCACUUCCUUUGAAUUUGACCAUUUCCGGUUUGACUUCGAACUCCUUAUAAUCGUGAACCCAUGAUUCAAGGAACCAAGAGUCUAUAAAGGCAACGCGCUUGGACCAGAAUGGGCUGGGAUCUUGUUUGGACCUUUGAAUGAGGACUCUAAUAUACGAAGCAAUAUGCUGCACAGAUAAUAUAUAACUCAGCUGUACCAUACUUAUAACUUAGCCGUAAAGAAUAUAACUCAGCUGCAUACUUACAUUUUGAACCAGCCAUCCAUAUUCUUUGAUGGGCCAAGGUCUUGGAGUGAUGAGGAUUCUGUAGAACUCAAUAUCCUCGUGAGCUUCUCCAUGUGGAAUUUCCCUGAUAAUUUAACACAACUCAGUCUCUGCAAAAUCUUUUUAUUAGCUAAAAUCAACGAAAUGGUGCAAAAGUCCUUACUCGUGUGGCUUUAGGUGUUGCAAAAGAUUAUCCCUUUUAACCGGACCAACAUGUCCUAGGGGAUCAUAUAUUGCAGGUGAAGGUUAAAAACCUUUUCUCAUGCACAUCGUUACAUUGUCUCCGAUGUGGGGAAAUGGUACAGAAGGACCAAAUUCCGCACUCAUUUGAGACCCAUCUGGAGAUAAUUGAACAGCUUUCAGCCGAUACUCCUUUAUUCUUCCACACCUUUUCCUUUCAUCGUCCUCCACAUCAGAUUCCGGCCACAGUUCGUCUGAAUACUUGGUGUUCUUAAUUUGCUUAGUCGGAAUGGGUAUUCUUAUUGUACCACUGCGAGUCCUUUUUGAAGCAGGAAUAUCCUUCUUUGAGUCAGCCUCUUCUUGCUUCUUCUUCUUCUUUAAAUCAGCCUCUUCUUGCUUCUUUUUCUUCUUUAACUCAGCCUCUUCUUUCUUCUGCUUCUUCUUUAACUCAGCCUCUUCUUGCUUCUUCUUCCUCUUCAACUCAGCUUCUUCUUGCUUCUGCUUCUUCUUUAACUCAGCUUCAUUCCUCUCCAAAUCAGUCACUAAGUUAUUUCUAUUCCCUAAGCCCCUGCAACCGCGUCCGAAUGGUGGUUCCUUACCAGGAGAAUCAGAGACCAAAUCAGCAUUUGUUGCAUCGGCAUUACCAAACGCCGAAUCCAAGUUCUUUUUCACCCCGGCAGCCUUAUCCCUGACAACCUUCGAAUUCAGCUUUGCUCCCAUACCUUUCGCAUCAGCUUUAGCAAUAUCAUCUACCAGAUUCUUCUCAGAUUGGCCUUUAUCAGGGGUCUUUUGCGGUUGGCUGUCUUCGGACUGUUUAUCAAUAGGGGUCUUAGAUGCAGGUUGACUACUAUUGGAGUCCGGCUGUCGGUUGUCUUCUGAGACCAUCACGUUUUGACCAUCAGGUUGACCACUAUUGGACUCCGGCUGUUGGUUGUCUUCUGAGACCAUCACGUGUUGACCUUCAGGUUGACUAAUAUUGGACACCCCCAAAACUCUCAGACGCUCUUCAACUGUAGUUUUCACUGUAUCUCCAAUGGUAUCCAAAAGGCCUUGGGAAAAAGAUCCAAACUUGGUGUCGUAUUCUGUUAAUCUCGAGUCAAAUUUUCGGUCCAACUUCUCGAGAUGAGCAACUAUGUUCAGCAGAACCGCUUCGCUAUGACCCUUCUCCUUUGCACUCUCCUUCUCCUCUACAACAGCAGUUUCACCCUCAUUGAUUUUCACCUCCUUUUGUUUCUUACCUUUCUUCUGCUUCUUUGAGGGUGGCUCAGCCUCUGACGAAACUCCAGCCUUCGUUUUUUUGUUCUUCUCAUUCGAUUGCACAUAAAAAUCUCUAACAAACCUAUCUGCAUGUAUAUCUUUAAUUAGGUUAUCAAGUUGUGGGUCAUCUGCUUCAUCCUUCCACUGAGGAAACAGCUCUUCUAGACCCUCCUUCAUCACCAUUUUCCUCACAUGCACCUACAACACAAAAACAUAAAUCAGUCAUUAAAAUUAACAACUCAACCAUAAAAUAAUCCAAUAACUCAGACAUUACAUUACAGGAUUCAUAUGUCUGAUUUAAACCUUACCGUUCCAUGAUCAUUCAUCUCCUUAGCUAUUGUAGUAGCAAGACUUGCACGAGUACGACUUCCACCCCAUCGCAAAAGCGGAAUUUCGUCUGGAUUCACUUUUCUGCCAUAAAGCUCUCCGAACACUGUGACAGAUUCAUACGCCCAAACCAAUAACACGUCCUUGAAGCCGCUAAGGGUGUACGACCCUCCUUGUGGAUGCAACAACUUGAUAGAAUCAACAAGAAAUUCAUAGGCAGUCCGACCCCAAGGAUAAGUCAUCAGGGCGUCAUCAUCGAAUACUCUUUUGCACUUUCAAAGGGUAUUCUACAAUUAUGAUGCAAGCCAUAAAGUCCAAUGGCUUGAAGAAACAACAGCCCAUACCAUUUCCGCUGAUCAGCACUCCAGAAUGGACACUCCGUUAAAGCUUCUAUAAGUUCAUCAAACUUGGGUCCGUACCCAAGCGGCACUUUCAACAACUCCCACAACGCUUUGUAAUUCUCUGGAUCAGGUUCAAAACUUUCUUCUGGCAGUGGAUUUGUGUUUAAACCCGUGAUCUCACCAAAUUCUAUUAAGCUAAACCUGAGAGGUUGAUCAACAACGAGAGACCAAAUCUCCUUCUUAUAGACUCGCAGCUGUCUACAAAGUAGAUAAUGUACGGUCUUACCAGACCACACCAAUUUGCUCUCAGCCAGUUUAGCAAUCAAUCCAACAGGAUACGUCUUCAGAUUAUCCCACACAUCUAUUCCAAUUGCUUGUCUAAGUCGAGGGAUCUCAGAAAAAUGGCUAUUCGUAUUAAUGCUUUUGUUUUCAAAAAUAGAAGCCCCUUCAGGGUAAAGUCUUGGAGGGUAAUCCCUUGCUAGAUCUUCGGAAACAUCCAUCUGAUCAAAAAAGACAUAUAUAACAUAUCAAUGAUAAAUCAGAAGAAAGACAUAAAAUAAACAAGCCACAAAACAUAACUCAGCCAUCAUUACAUAAAUAAAUCAGUCUCAAAGAAUACUAAAUCAGUCACAAUUACCUUCUAUAAAUCAGUCGUUAAGGAUCCUAAAUCAGCCGUAACGAAUACUAACUCAAACUCAGACAAAACAUAUAUCUAACUCACAGCAUUAAUUAUACUCACUCAAAUACUCGAAAAACUCAGAGCAAAGCCUCGAAAUAUACCAGAGAAUACGAUUACGGAGAUUUGAGGAGACAACCAAUCUGAAGAAGAAGCUUACGGACACACGAUUUCAGAGAAACGGAGACUAGAGAAGAAGAUUACGGAGAUUAUUUCAGAGAAGCCGCUUUGCCGAGAAGAGUUGUAGUGAACACGAUUUCGAAUACAGUUAGGGUUUAGUGGGAGAACAGUCUCAGAGAAGUUAAUGAUCGUCGUUUGAUUUUCCUUCGUGUUAAGUGACGUGGUAUCAUUACUUGUGAUGUGGAUUUUCAAAUUAAAAUUAAUCACAACUAAGAAAUAAUAAUAAAGGGCUUAAACAGUAAUUUAUUAGGGUUCUAAAAACACUGUAGUCAUUUUCAAAAUAUUUGUAUUAGUCUAGUCAUUACCUCACUUUUUUGUAUUAGUCUAGUCAUUUUCUCUAAAAAAUAUGUGAAAUUAAGUUCACAAUAUAAUAUAAUCUGACAAAGAUAAUAAAUUUAAAAUAAAAUAGACAAAUCAAAGGAUUUAUACCUUCAAAAUGAAAAAGUUUUAAUUUAAAAAUUUCAAUAACCCUGUUAUAAAUUUUAUUUAUCACAAUGAAAUUUGGGACUGGAUAUCAAACAAUUUCAACCGAAAUGAUGAUAAAACAAAGAAAAGAUAUAACAGUUUACACAUAAUUUAUAAAAAAAACUUUUAAAAUAGAAAUUAAUACUAAUUAAAAUAUUUAAUGAAAUCUUAGAAGGGAUUAUAUUCUCAUUUAUUUGGAUGUAUAUAUUUUCCUAAUCUACAAAAUACAAUUUAAAAAAAAAAAAAAACUCAAAUGAUUAAAAUCAAAAUGUAUACUGAUAAAACAAUAUACAGAAAUGUGCAUAAUAAUAUAUAGUUUACGGUAUAAAUUAGGACUAAAAUUUCUGCAAACAUUUGAAAAGUUUUAGUAUCCAGAUAAUGAAAAUCCAAAUAUUGUGUAUUUUAGUUCAAAUGAAAUUUCGAGUCUUCUCAAAAACCCAAUUUUUAUCAACGGGUCUUCCAAAUUAUGACAAUAAAAACUUCUUGGUAAAUACCAUUAUGAAUCUCUUUCUCCAAUACCUUAAAUCAUAUGAUUAAGAAUUAAGACCAAGCAAGCAAUAAUUAAUAUAUGAUCAUAUUUAUUUCUAACAAACAAUAGAAUUUUCUCUACUAGAACCGAGUACCACCGGUGAGCACCAAGAACACCAUUUCCAACCCAACCGGAUGGAUGAUGUUUGGACUGCCAAUUUCUCACCAAAGCAGACAAUUUCUUUUUGAAAAUUAUACAUUUAUUAAUUAUUAUAUACAAAUUAUUCAACCGCAGUUAACAUACAAUUCAAUCAUCAAUAUGCCGAAAAAUAAAAUAAUAAAAAAAUUACUUACAGAUAAAUUAACCAACAAUCAAAUUAAUAAAAUAUUGUAUCUCAAUAUAAUCCAAAACAUUUGCGCGGACCGACCCUAGUACAAUAUAAGAAAUGGUAAUAUUGAGUUAAAUAAUUAAACAUCUAUCUGAAAAAUUUAUUGCAACAUAAGUGAUAAGUAAAUAUACAAUAUAAAAAAUAAAAAUAUUACAUAAGCAUCAAUUAUAUUAGAACAAAAUAAAUAUAAAUAUAAUAUAUAUAAGAAAUAGAAAAACUACAUUAACAUCUGCCUACAAAAUGUAUAAUAAAAAUACUAAAUAAAUAUACAAUAUAAAAAUAAAAAUAUUACAUUAAACAUCUAUAUUAAUAUUAAAAUUUGAUAUAAAAGAAAAAAAUUAGAAUAAAUAAAUAUACAGUAUUAAAAAGUAAGUAUAAAAUAUAAAAAAUUGACAAACUACAUUAAACGUCUAUAUAAAAAUGUAUAGUUUUACAUUUUUAUUAUUUCUAAACAUUUCUAUAAGUAAAUAUACAACAUAUGAAAAACAAGCAUGCAAUAUAAGAAUUAGAAAUAUGAUAUUAAACAUCUAUCACAAUAUUAUCAUUUGAUAUAAAACCAAGAAAUUAUAAUAAGUACAUAUACAUCAUAAGAAAAAUAAACAAUAAAUAAAUAUACAAUUAAGAAAUGAAAAAAUAAAAUUAAACAUCUCUCUGAAAAGAAUAAGUAAAUAUACAAAAUAAUAAAUAGAAAUAUUAUAUUAAACAUCUAUUGUUAUAUUGGAAUAAGUAAAUAUAUAAUAUAAAAAGAACUAAAAAUAAGUAAAUAUAUAAUAUAAAAGUAGAAAUAUUUAUUAAACAUCUAAAGUAAUAUCAUCAUUUGAUAAAAGUAAAAAAAAAUAGAAUAAGUAAAUAUACAACAUAAGAAAAAAUAAACAAUAAGUAAAUGUACAAUAUGAAAAAUGGAAAAACUAAAUAAAACAUAUAUCUGGAAAAUGUAUAGUAAAAUAAAUAAUAAGAAAAUAUAGAAUAUAAAAAUAUUUAAAUUAAACAUCUAUCAUAAUAUUAGAAUGAAAAUAAAUAAUAAGUAAAUAUAUAAUAUAAAAAAUAGAAAAAAUACAUUAAACAUAUAUCUGAAAAUGUAUAGUAAAAUAAAUAAGAAGUAAAUAUACAACAUAAAAAAUCAAAAUAAUACGUUAAAAAUCUGUUGUAAUAUUACCAUUUGAUAUAAAGGCAAAAUAAUUAGCAUAAGUAUAUAUACAACUAGGGUCGGUCCGCGCUACGCGCGGGAUAUGAUUUUCUAGCUAUUAUAGUGUGUAUUACUGUUGUUAUAUUUUGUUAUUUGUGUGGUUAGAUUGCAAAUGGAAUUGAUAUGGGUGAUAAUGGCUUAGUUUUAAGCUAUGUAAUAGGUGGAUGGUUUCACUCAAUGAGGGAUUAUAUGUGGUAGAUUUAUUUUGCUCAUCUAUUUCUCUAUCCAUAAAUCUCUGUCCUUGAGACUUAUUCCAGAGAUAAGCUCCCGUGUUUGUUCAGGUGUCUCACCAAGACCAACCAAAGCGACUAUUCUCUCAUCGUCGGGAGAGUUACGGUGAACAUAUCUCAUCAGCGAAUCCUUUCCCCGUUGCUUUGACGAAUAAUGUAAUUAGUCCAUCGCUAUUGUUUAUAGAUUGAUGUUGUUAGGUCGUGUGUUGAAUAUUUUAAUUAGUAGGCUGGAUUUUUUUCUUUCUAUUAGGCAUGUUUUCGAAAGAUUUUAUUUGUCAGGAUGUUUUUGUUGUCGCCUUUAUCUCUCUAGAAAAAACCUAAACAAUAUCUCUCUAUCCCCAUCAAAAGCCAUGCCGAUUGUUCCUGAAAAUUCAGAGAGGUUAGAGAACAGUGUUUUUGCGAUACUAAGCUCUGCAAAUCGUGAAAACCUCCAUGUUCUAUUCCCUGGUCUGUGUGACUUGCUUGACACAACCAGCCCUACAUGGUUUAAAUUUUUAACUGAUCUCUCCCUGGUCAUCCCAACGAUUCUUGCAGAAGGAUGGGUUCAUGCAUGGCCGACAUACUGCGACAUUCCCAAUCAUUUUAAAGAACGCUGAUUUCUUCAACUCGCUGUAAGGCCCGACAUUUGUUCAUAUAUAUUAAUAUAUACCAUCGGUCUG